GAGAAACGCUGGCGGCGUGCAUAACACAUUCAAGUCGAACGGGAAUCUUUAGAUGGAGACUUCGGUCAAAGUAUGAAGAGGAUAGUGGCGGACGGGUGAGUAACGCGUGAGCAACCUGCCUCAGUGAGGGGGAUAACACAGGGAAACUUGUGCUAAUACCGCAUGACGCAUACUGAUUGCAUGGUUGGUAUGUUAAAGGAGAAAUCCGCAUUAAGAUGGGCUCGCGUCUGAUUAGAUAGUUGGUGGGGUAACGGCCUACCAAGUCGACGAUCAGUAGCCGGACUGAGAGGUUGAACGGCCACAUUGGAACUGAGAAACGGUCCAGACUCCUACGGGAGGCAGCAGUGGGGAAUAUUGGGCAAUGGGCGAAAGCCUGACCCAGCGACGCCGCGUGAGGGAAGAAGGUCUUCGGAUUGUAAACCUUUGUAGACAGGGAAGAAGAAAGUGACGGUACCUGUAAAGUAAGCCACGGCUAACUACGUGCCAGCCGCCGCCGUAAAAC
rnacentral:rRNA from 1 species